rnacentral:rRNA from 1 species
UAUUUUUUGUCUUGUUUUAGAUAUUGUUUGAUUGUAUUUGUUUUUCAUUAAUUGAAGUAUCAUUUAGUUGUUGUAUAUUUGUGAUUUAAUUCUUUUUGCUAUAGAUUAUUUGUACUGUAGGGGUUUGAUUUGUGUUAUUUUAUCUUUAGAAGCUGAUUUUAUUUAUUGUACCUUGUGUAUCAGGGUUCAUUGAAUUUUAUUAUUUAUUUUUGUUUCCCGAUUUUAAAGGAGUUAGUUGCUUAUUUUAGUUAGUGUUUCAUCAUUAUUAAUAAUAGGUAGCUGGUGAUGAAAUGUUAUUCGUCUUUGGUGGUUUCUGGUUUUUCAAGAAAUGAAUUUAAUUCAUGCUCUUUGUUUAAUGUUUACUUUUCUUUUAUUCUUUUUUAUUAGGCGCUAAGAUUAGGGGGGAUCAGCUCCCUAUUUUAUCUUUAUAAUUGUUGUCUGUUAUUUAGUUUUGUGGAUUUUAUAGUGAUUUUCAAUUUGAUUAUGUUAAAAUUUUAUUUGUUUUUUUGUUUAUUUACUUUUAAUUUAAUUUGUUUAUUGGAAUGUUUCCUUUAAUUUUCUUAUUGGAUAGUAAUUAUUGUGUAAUUAGUAAAUUUUCUUUUUAUACUGUUAUUUUUUGUGUGUUAAAUUCUUUUGAGGAAUUAGGCAAAUAUUUCAUUCGCCUGUUUAACAAAAACAUCUCUUCUUGUUAGUUUUUGAAGUAUGGCCUGCCCACUGACGUUUUGUUGAAGGGCCGCGGUAUUUUGACCGUGCAAAGGUAGCAUAAUCAUUAGUUCUUUAAUUGUGAUCUGGUAUGAAUGGCUUGACGAGGCAUANNNNNNNNNNNNNNNNNUUUUUAUGGGACGAGAAGACCCUAUAGAGUUUAACAUUUUAUUCGCUUUUUCUAUUUGUUUGUUUGGAUAUUAUUAAGUGAUUUAAGUGUUUUGUUGGGGUGAUGGGAGGAAUUUAUUUAACUCCUCUGUUUAUUUGUUUACUUAUUUGUAGUUUUUGAUCCAUUUAUUUUGAUUACAAGAUUAAAUUACCUUAGGGAUAACAGCGUUAUCUUCCUUGAGAGUUCUUAUUGGCGGGAAGGUUUGCGACCUCGAUGUUGGAUUAAGGUUAAUUUUUGGUGUAGCAGCUGAAUUGAUUAGGUCUGUUCGACCUUUAAAAUCUUACAUGAUCUGAGUUCAGACCGGCGUGAGCCAGGUUGGUUUCUAUCUAUAAUGUUGUUUUAUACCUUAGUACGAGAGGACCGGGUAUUUGGAAUAAUUUUAUUUUUGUGAUUAUUAUUAAUGUUGUU